UUGAUUAAUUUGAUUAAUUACGCAUCGCAUGUCAGGCUAAAACCACAAAGAAGAUCGUGCUGAAACUGCAGUGCCAGAGCUGCAAGCAUUUUUCUCAGCACGCGAUCAAGAGAUGCAAGCAUUUUGAGAUUGGCGGAGACAAGAAGGGCAAGGGGACCUCUCUGUUCUGAGUUUUUUUUUUGGCUUUUGUCACCAUGGGGCCUCAUCUUCUUCAGUUUAGUCUCUUUUUAGGCUCUUAAGUUACUCUUUGGUCUUUUGCUAAAAUUUGUCUUUGUUUUGUUUGGAUGUUAUUGAGAUUUCGUGGAAACAAUUUGCUAAGACGUGUCAUUUCGUACAAUGCUAUUGUCCUGACUUUGUUUCUUUUAUGAGUUUCCAUGUUAUUGUU